rnacentral:rRNA from 1 species
AGCAGCCGCGGUAAUUCCAGCUCCAAUAGCGUAUAUUAAAGUUGCUGCAGUUAAAAAGCUCGUAGUUGAAUUUCGGGACUAAUAUGUCGGUCGUGCCUCGGUACGUACUGGUAUUUUUGGUUUCUCCCUUCUGACGAACCUUGAUGUCAUUAAUUUGGUGUCUUGGGAAAUCAGGACUGUUACUUUGAAAAAAUUAGAGUGUUUAAAGCAGGCUCACGCUUGAAUACAUUAGCAUGGAAUAAUGAAAUAGGACGUUUGAUUCUAUUUUGUUGGUUUCUAGGAUCGACGUAAUGAUUAAUAGGGAUAGUUGGGGGCAUUAGUAUUCAAUUGUCAGAGGUGAAAUUCUUGGAUUUAUUGAAGACUAACUACUGCGAAAGCAUUUUGCCAAGGAUGUUUUCAUUAAUCAAGAACGAAAGUUAGGGGAUCGAAGACGAUCAGAUACCGUCGUAGUCUUAACCAUAAACUAUGCCGACUAGGGAUCGGAUGAUGUUAAUUUUUUAGUGACUCAUUCGGCGCCUUA